UCAUGGGUAGCUCAGUUGACUAGAGUGUGAUGCUUACAAUGUCAAGGUUGCGUGUUCGAUCUUGCCUAAUGGA